CAAUGGGCGCAAGCCUGAUCCAGCCAUGCCGCGUGCAGGAAGACGGUCCUAUGGAUUGUAAACUGCUUUUGUACAGGAAGAAACACUCCCUCGUGAGGGAGCUUGACGGUACUGUAAGAAUAAGGAUCGGCUAACUCCGUGCCAGCAGCCGCGGUAAUACGGAGGAUCCAAGCGUUAUCCGGAAUCAUUGGGUUUAAAGGGUCCGUAGGCGGCUUUAUAAGUCAGUGGUGAAAGCCCAUCGCUCAACGAUGGAACGGCCAUUGAUACUGUAGAGCUUGAAUUAUUAGGAAGUAACUAGAAUAUGUAGUGUAGCGGUGAAAUGCUUAGAGAUUACAUGGAAUACCAAUUGCGAAGGCAGGUUACUACUAAUGGAUUGACGCUGAUGGACGAAAGCGUGGGGAGCGAACAGGAUUAGAUACCCUGGUAGUCCACGCCGUAAACGAUGGAUACUAGCUGUUGGGGGCAACUUCAGUGGCUAAGCGAAAGUGAUAAGUAUCCCACCUGGGGAGUA
rnacentral:rRNA from 1 species